GACGAACGCUGGCGGCGUGCCUAAUACAUGCAAGUUGAGCGCUGAAGGUUGGUUCUUGUCCCAACUGGAUGAGCAGCGCACGGGUGAGUAACGCGUGGGGAAUCUGCCUUUGAGCGGGGGACAACAUUUGGAAACGAAUGCUAAUACCGCAUAAAAACUUUAAACACAAGUUUUAAGUUUGAAAGAUGCAAUUGCAUCACUCAAAGAUGAUCCCGCGUUGUAUUGGCUAGUUGGUGAGGUAAAGGCUCACCAAGGCGAUGAUACAUAGCCGACCUGAGAGGGUGAUCGGCCACAUUGAGACUGAGACACGGCCCAAACUCCUACGGGAGGCAGCAGUAGGGAAUCUUCGGCAAGGGACGAAAGUCUGACCGAGCAACGCCGCGUGAGUGAAGAAGGUUUUCGGAUCGUAAAACUCGGUUGGUAGAGAAGAACGUUGGUGAGAGUGGAAAGCUCAUCAAGUGACGGUAACUACCCAGAAAGGGACGGCUAACUACGUG
rnacentral:rRNA from 1 species